rnacentral:tRNA from 3 species
GCUCCCGUGUUGCAGUCGUUAGCAAGCCUGUUUCCGGCGCAGGAGGUCUCGGGUUCAAAUCCCGACUGGAGUU